UACGUAGGGAGCGAGCGUUGUCCGGAAUGACUGGGCGUAAAGGGCGCGUAGGCGGCUGUGUAAGUUUGGAGUGAAAGUCCCGUUUUCAAGAUGGGAAUUGCUUUGAAAACUGCGCAGCUUGAGUGAUGGAGAGGAUAGCGGAAUUCCCGGUGUAGCGGUGAAAUGCGUAGAGAUCGGGAGGAACACCAGUGGCGAAGGCGGCUAUCUGGACAUAAACUGACGCUGAGGCGCGAAAGCGUGGGUAG
rnacentral:rRNA from 1 species